rnacentral:rRNA from 1 species
CACAUGCAAGUCGAGCGGCAGCGGGAAGUAGUUUACUACUUUGCCGGCGAGCGGCGGACGGGUGAGUAAUGUCUGGGAAACUGCCUGAUGGAGGGGGAUAACUACUGGAAACGGUAGCUAAUACCGCAUGACCUCGCAAGAGCAAAGUGGGGGACCUUCGGGCCUCACGCCAUCGGAUGUGCCCAGAUGGGAUUAGCUAGUAGGUGGGGUAAUGGCUCACCUAGGCGACGAUCCCUAGCUGGUCUGAGAGGAUGACCAGCCACACUGGAANUGAGACACGGUCCAGACUCCUACGGGAGGCAGCAGUGGGGAAUAUUGCACAAUGGGCGCAAGCCUGAUGCAGCCAUGCCGCGUGUGUGAAGAAGGCCUUCGGGUUGUAAAGCACUUUCAGCGAGGAGGAAGGCCAAUAGCUUAAUACGCUGUUGGAUUGACGUUACU